GGAUGUGGCUCAGUGGCAGAGUGCCUGCCUGGCACAUGUGAGGCACUGGGUUCAAUCCUCAGCACCA
rnacentral:tRNA from 1 species